rnacentral:SRP_RNA from 1 species
CUUUCCUUUUCUUGCAGACAUGUUCGGAUGCUGUUGCGCUGAUAAGAAAGGAGAUACUGAGAAAGUGAUCGCACUCG